ACUAACUUUAUUUAUAAACUCCACGGGAGGCAUAAGAUGAGACCCUAGCCAACCAUUCUAGUGGCAACUGGGCAGCCUGGACUGUCGGGCAGUGCCAGCUACAUGAAGGUGACGGCAGUGAGGAUGGAGCAGAUUGGACAAUGCAGCCAAAAUAGCUUAUUAGUUGUCCGAUCCCUUCUGCACAAAAAAAUAAUGCCAG